rnacentral:rRNA from 1 species
UGGGGAAUUUUGGACAAUGGGCGAAAGCCUGAUCCAGCAAUGCCGCGUGUGUGAAGAAGGCCUUCGGGUUGUAAAGCACUUUUGUCCGGAAAGAAAUCCUUGGCUCUAAUACAGUCGGGGGAUGACGGUACCGGAAGAAUAAGCACCGGCUAACUACGUGCCAGCAGCCGCGGUAAUACGUAGGGUGCAAGCGUUAGUCGGAAUUACUGGGCGUAAAGCGUGCGCAGGCGGUUUGCUAAGACCGAUGUGAAAUCCCCGGGCUCAACCUGGGAACUGCAUUGGUGACUGGCAGGCUAGAGUAUGGCAGAGGGGGGUAGAAUUCCACGUGUAGCAGUGAAAUGCGUAGAGAUGUGGAGGAAUACCGAUGGCGAAGGCAGCCCCCUGGGCCAAUACUGACGCUCAUGCACGAAAGCGUGGGGAGCAAACAGGAUUAGAUACCCUGGUAGUCCACGCCCUAAAACGAUGUCAACUAGUUGUUGGGGAUUCAUUUCCUUAGUAACGUAGCUAACGCGUGAAGUUGACCGCCUGGGGAGUACGGUCGCAAGAUUAAAACUCAAAGGAAUUGACGGGGUCAUAGCUGUUUCCU